CUGCAGGGUAUAAUUGGUAUUGUAUUGCUCAAUGGCUGUUUUAGAUAUUUUAAUAAUUGAUCAAGGAAAGAUGUGUGCUGUCAAGGUUUAAACCGGCUUAUGAUUAUCCCUGGGUAUUUACGCCGCUGCUACUAGAUAUGGAAGGAUAUUUUGUUUUUGAAGUGGUCAGUGCGUUUUUGGCCAUUACUGUUAUUACCGAGAAAGGUUGCUAUGGAAGUGCCUGUAACGACAUAAACAUAGCAGCAGGCGGUUCACUGCCAAGCGGAAGUUAUUCCAUUGUUAAUAACAAAGGCGGAAGUUUCAGAGUAUAUUGUCAAUUCUAUAGCGGGUACGGAUAUACGUUUAUUUCAAAUACAACUGCAGUCGACGUCGACAUGGCUUUACUGAUGGACGAUACAAGUCACGUUAUCGUACGACAUAAACGUUUGGAUGGACAGCAGUAUACCUCAACAAUAAAACAACUUGAUAGUUUUUCUAGCGUUCCAAUUUCGAUUCAAUUUAACGGACAUGCUGGCUAUGCAACAUUGUUAAAUACGCAACUGGCUCCUUACAUCUAUGUCGGAUUUAUUCCAACAUCGCUCAGUAACAAGGGUGAUACACAAGGAUGGAAGAUAAACAACGACCCGCUAACAUUUAACAAUUGCGAUGGUAACCCAAAUAGUUACUUCGCUUUUUUGUUUAACCACAAUAAUGUCGGAUAUACAAACACAGCAAGUGGUCACAGUUCAUUAUUAUUUUCGUGGUAUAGUUCAGCUACACAGAUACCACAGCUGGAAUAUCUACCCGACGAGUUUUUUACUUCGUACUAUGAGAUACACCAUGGUGGUUGUGGCGGUUUUGGCACGGCUGACGGUAUUGCAGAUGUUACUGGUGCGACAGUAGGAGUCAAAUUCCCGUUAACUUGUGGACCUCCUGCUGACAUUGGUUAUGGGACUAAAUCUUACGCGGACAUAUCUAUAGGCAGUGCCGUCCUGUAUUCCUUGCAAUGAGAAUUACACCAUGAUAUCUGGAGAUGCGACACGCACAUGUACAGUUAAUGGCAGCUGGUCGGGAACACUACCAGCUUGUAAAGAACUUGUGAAUGUGGCAAUAGGAAAGACGGCCUACCAGACAGACACCUACUGUUGUGGCAGCGGGGAUGCGGACCUGGCUGUGGAUGGUGGCGUGUCACAGUACUGGCAUGAUGGAUCUUGUUCCUUGACCGAGUCGAAAGCUGAUACUUACUGGGAAGUGGACCUUGGAGACCUUUACAUUAUAGACCACGUGAUAAUUCUUGCAAGAAUUGACCCAUGUUGUGAUAGUAAACUAAGACAAGUAGAGUUAUACACCGGAACUGCCAAGACCUUCUUUAAGCGUGUCAGCUACUAUGAUGGGGUUAUAACCAACACGCACACAUUUCACAUGGACCAUACAACACAUGCUCGGUGGGUGAAAAUAACCCGUGUCUCCAGUGUGGACGAGCAGCUGUCGUUAUGUGAGGUGCAAGUUAUGGGAUACAAACCAGCAUCCUUACUAUAUAAACAGAAAGCAAAUGAGAUCGGAAACGGAACUGCUCUAAGUGUAUCUUCAUCAUGGUCACAAAUGGAUUGCUGCCGGAAAUGCUUCCGUUACCCAGGAUGCCUUGCCGUUAAUUUAUUCCUCAACACGUCAAUGUGUUACCUUCUAGAUUCGGACAGUUAUACCUCCAACGAGGAUCAAAACAUCGUUUUCUUUUCAGCAAACUACAAUUUCGUAUAAACGUGUUUGGUAUUGGACUGUUCGUUUACGAUUCUGUAAAUGAAGAUACAGGCAGUCACGGAU
rnacentral:misc_RNA from 1 species